rnacentral:rRNA from 1 species
UCGAGAGUUUGAUCCUGGCUCAGGAUGAACGCUAGCGGCAGGCUUAACACAUGCAAGUCGAGGGGUAUAGUUCUUCGGAGCUAGAGACCGGCGCACGGGUGCGUAACGCGUAUGCAAUCUACCUUUUACAGAGGGAUAGCCCAGAGAAAUUUGGAUUAAUACCUCAUAGUAUGUGAGAAUCGCAUGGUUUUCACAUUAAAGUCACAACGGUAAAAGAUGAGCAUGCGUCCCAUUAGCUAGAUGGUAAGGUAACGGCUUACCAUGGCUACGAUGGGUAGGGGUCUUGAGAGGGAGAUCCCCC